rnacentral:rRNA from 1 species
UACGUAGGGUGCGAGCGUUGCCCGGAUUUAUUGGGCGUAAAGGGCGCGCAGGCGGCUACGCACGUCCGUUGUGAAAUCGCUCGGCUCAACUGGGCGGGGUCAGCGGAUACGGCGUAGCUGGAGCAAGCUAGGGGGCAAUGGAAUUCCCGGUGUAGUGGUGGAAUGCGUAGAUAUCAGGAAGAACACCAAUGGCGAAGGCAGCUCUCUGGGACGGUACUGACACUGAGACGCGAAAGCGUGGGGAGCGAACAGG